rnacentral:rRNA from 1 species
UUAAGCCGUUAGGUGUAGGCGUAGCGAAAGCGAGUCUGAAUAGGGCGCUUUAGUUAGAUGAAUUAGACCCGAAACCGGGUGAUCUAGCCAUGGCCAGGUUGAAAGCGGAGUAAAAUCCGCUGAAGGACCGAACCCACUACUGUUGAAAAAGUAGGGGAUGAGCUGUGGUUAGGGGUGAAAGGCCAAUCAAACUCGGAUAUAGCUGGUUCUCCGCGAAAUCUAUUUAGGUAGAGCGUUAUAGCGGUUACCGUCGAAGGUAGAGCACUGAAUGAGCUAGGGGGUCCCACAGACUUACCAAACUCAAUCAAACUCCGAAUGUCGACGAGUACAGCAUAGCAGACAGACUAUGGGUGCUAAGGUCCAUAGUCAAGAGGGAAAAAGCCCAGACCGCCAUCUAAGGUCCCUAAAUCAUGACUAAGUGUUAAAGGAUGUGAGAAGACCAAAACAACUAGGAUGUUGGCUUAGAAGCAGCCAUCAUUUAAAGAAAGCGUAAUAGCUCACUAGUCUAAAUAAGUUUUCUUGCGCCAACAAUGUAACGGGGCUCAAGUCAUGUACCGAAGAUGCGGAUUUAUGCAUUUGGCAUAAAUGGUAGCGGAGCGUUCCGUAAGCCUGUGAAGGUGAACCGUAAGGUUUGCUGGAGGUAUCGGAAGUGAGAAUGCUGACAUAAGUAGCGAUAAAGAAUGUGAGAAACAUUCUCGCCGAAAGUCCAAGGGUUCUUGCGUAAAGUUAAUCUGCGCAAGGUUAGUCGGCCCCUAAGAUGAGGCUGAGAGGCGUAAUCGAUGGGAAUCAGGUUAAUAUUCCUGAACCUGAGGGAUGUGACGAAAAUAGUAAAUUGUACAGUCUUAUUGGAUUGAUUGUACAGUGAAUGUUUUCCAGGAAAUAACACCUUCAUUAUAGACCGUACCCAAAACCGACACAGGUGGACAGGUAGAGUAUACCAAGGCGCUUGAGAGAACGAUGCUGAAGGAACUAGGCAAAUUGCAUCUGUAACUUCGGAAGAAAGAUGACCUGUAUAUGGGCAAUCAUUUGCAGGUGGCACAAACUAGGGGGUAGCGACUGUUUAUUAAAAACACAGGGCUCUGCAAAGUCAAUAGACGACGUAUAGGGUCUGACGCCUGCCCAGUGCUGGAAGAUUAAAAGGAGGGGUGCCAAGCUCUGAAUUGAAGUCCCAGUGAACGGCGGCCGUAACUAUGACGGUCCUAAGGUAGCGAAGUUCCUUGUCGGGUAAGUUCCGACCCGCACGAAUGGCGUAACGAUUUCCCCACUGUCUCCAGUAUCGACUCAGCGAAAUUGAAUUCUCCGUGAAGAUGCGGAGUUCCCGCGGUCAGACGGAAAGACCCCGUGAACCUUUACUAUAGCUUUGUACUGGUGUUAGGAAUCAGAUGUGCAGGAUAGGUGGGAGACUACGAAGCGAAGGCGUCAGCCUUUGUGGAGUCACCCUUGAGAUACCACCCUUUUGGUUCUUGACAUCUAACCGAGAUCCUUGAAUCAGGAUCCGAGACAAUGCAUGGUGGGUAGUUUGACUGGGGCGGUCGCCUCCCAAAGAGUAACGGAGGCGCGCGAUGGUUAGCUCAGGUUGGACGGAAAUCAACUUUUAGAGUGCAAUGGCAUAAGCUAGCCUGACUGUGAGUCUGACAAGACGAGCAGAGACGAAAGUCGGUCAUAGUGAUCCGGUGGUCCCGAGUGGAAGGGCCAUCGCUCAACGAAUAAAAGGUACUCCGGGGAUAACAGGCUGAUGAUUUCCAAGCGUCCAUAGCGACGAAAUAGUUUGGCACCUCGAUGUCGGCUCAUCACAUCCUGGGGCUGGAGAAGGUCCCAAGGGUUCGGCUGUUCGCCGAUUAAAGUGGUACGUGAGCUGGGUUUAGAACGUCGUGAGACAGUUCGGUCCCUAUCUGCCGUGGGUGUAGGAAGUUUGAGAGGAUCUGCCUUUAGUACGAGAGGACCGAGGUGGACGUACCCCUGGUGGACCAGUUGUCGUGCCAACGGCACAGCUGGGUAGCUAAGUACGGAAGGGAUAACCGCUGAAUGCAUCUAAGCAGGAAACCAACCUCAAAACUAGACUUCCCUAUUAGAGCCGUGGAAGACCACCACGUUGAUAGGUCGGGUGUGGAAGCACAGUAAUGUGUGUAGCUAACCGAUACUAAUAGCUCGAUUGAUUUACUUUG